UUAACUCAUAUUUGUACGGAAUGGGAUCGCUUGCGUACGUUUGCCGCUAGGGGCGCUGUUCCAACUGCAUACAAAAUUGAGUUA
rnacentral:pre_miRNA from 1 species